UCCUACGGGAGGCUGCAGUAAGGAAUAUUGGACAAUGGUGGCAACACUGAUCCAGCCAUGCCGCGUGAAGGAAGAAGGACCUAUGGUUUGUAAACUUCUUUUGUAGCAGAGAAAACCCCGGUACGUGUACUGGGUUGAUAGUAUGCUAAGAAUAAGCAUCGGCUAACUUCGUGCCAGCAGCCGCGGUAAUACGAAGGAUGCAAGCGUUAUCCGGAUUUAUUGGGUUUAAAGGGAGCGUAGGCGGUCUUAUAAGUCAGUGGUGAAAUCUCGUUGCUUAACAACGAACGUGCCAUUGAUACUGUAGGACUUGAGUACAGAUGCCGUUGGCGGAAUGUGUCAUGUAGCGGUGAAAUGCAUAGAUAUGACACAGAACACCGAUUGCGAAGGCAGCUGACGAAACUGUAACUGACGCUGAGGCUCGAAAGCGUGGGGAUCAAACAGGAUUAGAUACCCUGGUAGUC
rnacentral:rRNA from 1 species